UUGCCCAGGGGGCCUCGUUGCCACCAGUGGAAGGGCCUGCAGCGUCCGACGCUCAGAAGCCAUCGAGCAAGAAAGAAGAGACGUCGUGAGGCAAGACUGAAGAGGAGGAUCAGCGGCGUCGAGGUCAAGAGUGGAGCGGCGAGGUCAAGAGUGAAGAAGAGGAUCAGCGGCUUCGAGGUCAAGAGGUGGCACGUGAGGCCCUCUGGGCAAAUGACAUCCCUGGCAUUUCCAGGGCACAAAUUCCCCCCCAGUCUGGUGGGCGCCUUCAGGGUGCCCCGAAUCCUUUAGCGCUGGGCGACCUCCCUGUAAGCAGGGCUGGGUCUUUGCUUUGGUGCCUUUGGUGCCUUUUGCUGUUCUGCUGCUUUGGCUGCCUGGAGAGAGGGGCGCCCCUGUAAGGAGGGUGAGAGCCUCUGUCUCCAAACAGGAGGAGGGAAAUGGAGCCUCCCCCGAGCCCCCCUGUAGGCAGGGCAGGGCCUUUUCCCCAUCCCCAGCAGAAUUCGGUCUUCAGGGCUGGGCCCCUGUCCCCGGCAUUAGGCCAUGAGCUCGACUGCCUGGCUGUUGAGUCUCAUUCCUGCUCCUGCAGGGGGGAAGGCCAAGUUUUGCGGCUGCCUGGGUGUUGACCAGCCUGUAAGCAGGGUCUGGGUCUGGGAGCCUUUGUGCUCCCUCAGCUGGCAGCCUGUGUGGGGUGACCCCUCCGUUAGCCAGGGGCAGGUCAGGAUGCCCCCGAAGGAGAGACAAGGAGCCUCUCUGGGCCUUUGGGGCCAGCGCCACCCCGUAAGUUGGGGCCAGCGGCCUAGAGUCCCAGGCCCUUUCAGUCCAGGCAGUGGCUGCAGCCUCCUGUAAGCAGGGGUGCAGCCUCUUUGGCCGCUGCUUUGCAAGCCCAGCUUCAUUUGCCCAGGGGGCCUCGUUGCCACCAGUGGAAGGGCCUGCAGCGUCCGACGCUCAGAAGCCAUCGAGGAAGAAAGAAGAGACGUCGUGAGGCAAGACUGAAGAGGAGGAUCAGCGGCGUCGAGGUCAAGAGUGGAGCGGCGAGGUCAAGAGUGAAGAAGAAGAUCAGCGGCGUCGAGGUCAAGAGUGGAGCGGCGAGGUCAAGAGUGAAGAAGAGGAUCAGCGGCUUCGAGGUCAAGAGGUGGCACGUGAGGCCCUCUGGGCAAAUGACAUCCCUGGCAUUUCCAGGGCACAAAUUCCCCCCCAGUCUGGUGGGCGCCUUCAGGGUACCCCGAGUCCUUUAGCGCUGGGCGACCUCCCUGUAAGCAGGGCUGGGUCUUUGCUUUGGUGCCUUUUGCUGUUCUGCUGCUUUGGCUGCCUGGAGAGAGGGGCGCCCCUGUAAGGAGGGUGAGAGCCUCUGUCUCCAAACAGGAGGAGGGAAAUGGAGCCUCCCCCGAGCCCCCCUGUAGGCAGGGCAGGGCCUUUUCCCCAUCCCCAGCAGAAUUCGGUCUUCAGGGCUGGGCCCCUGUCCCCGGCAUUAGGCCAUGAGCUCGACUGCCUGGCUGUUGAGUCUCAUUCCUGCUCCCGCAGGGGGGAAGGCCAAGUUUUUUUUUUUGCGGCUGCCUGGGUGUUGACCAGCCUGUAAGCAGGGUCUGGGUCUGGGAGCCUUUGUGCUCCCUCAGCUGGCAGCCUGUGUGGGGUGACCCCUCCGUUAGCCAGGAGCAGGUCAGGAUGCCCCCGAAGGAGAGACAAGGAGCCUCUCUGGGCCUUUGGGGCCAGCGCCACCCCGUAAGUUGGGGCCAGCGGCCUAGAGUCCCAGGCCCUUUCAGUCCAGGCAGUGGCUGCAGCCUCCUGUAAGCAGGGGUGCAGCCUCUUUGGCCGCUGCUUUGCAAGCCCAGCUUCAUUUGCCCAGGGGGCCUCGUUGCCAGCAGUGGAAGGGCCUGCAGCGUCCGACGCUCAGAAGCCAUCGAGGAAGAAAGAAGAGACGUCGUGAGGCAAGACUGAAGAGGAGGAUCAGCGGCGUCGAGGUCAAGAGUGGAGCGGUGAGGUCAAGAGUGAAGAAGAAGAUCAGCGGCGUCGAGGUCAAGAGUGGAGCGGCGAGGUCAAGAGUGAAGAAGAGGAUCAGCGGCGUCGAGGUCAAGAGGUGGCACGUGAGGCCCUCUGGGCAAAUGACAUCCCUGGCAUUUCCAGGGCACAAAUUCCCCCCCAGUCUGGUGGGCGCCUUCAGGGUGCCCCGAGUCCUUUAGCGCUGGGCGACCUCCCUGUAAGCAGGGCUGGGUCUUUGCUUUGGUGCCUUUGGUGCCUUUUGCUGUUCUGCUGCUUUGGCUGCCUGGAGAGAGGGGCGCCCCUGUAAGGAGGGUGAGAGGCCUGGUCUCUGCAGCCAAGGGGGAAAUGGAGCACCCCCAGGCCACCCUGUAAGCAGGGCAGCGCCUUUUCCCCUUGUCAAUUGGUUUAUUCCCCUGGCCAGCGUGACCCCCUGUACCCAGGGUGUGUCAUGCACAGUCUUCUGUCUCCUGGCCACCCCUCAACAUGUUUAGGCCCUUAUAGAGGGCAACCGUGCAGCGCCCCCGGGGCAGGGCUGAAGCUCUCGUCUCCUGCUCAGCAGCAGGCAGGGCACCCACACAGAGCUCGCUCCCACUCCUGGCACCUUGUCCCUGUGUGUCUUCCUUUGUCUAGUCGGUAUGAGUGAGGCAGUGUGUGUGUCCCCCGUAGGCAUAGAGCAGGUUAGCUUAGGCUUCCCAGCAGGGGGAGAGGAGCUCUGUGACUCAGCCAGGGGUGCCCUGUCCAGCUGCAGGAAGAGACAGGGCCCGGCCUGGCCCCUUGCUCCUGAGGACAGAGCCAAGCCCCUUAAUGGCAGCGUGGGCACCGGGACCCACCUGUAGCCAGGGCCUGGGUGCGAGCCUGUCCUGCCGGGCUGCCUGUCCUUGCAGCUGACCUGCCAGCGUGCCUGGCCUGCCCUCAGAGCAGGCAGCAGCUGCAGCCUCCUGUAAGCAGGGGUGCAGCCUCUUUGGCCGCUGCUUUGCAAGCCCAGCUUCAUUUGCCCAGGGGGCCUCGUUGCCACCAGUGGAAGGGCCUGCAGCGUCCGACGCUCAGAAGCCAUCGAGGAAGAAAGAAGAGACGUCGUGAGGCAAGACUGAAGAGGAGGAUCAGCGGCGUCGAGGUCAAGAGUGGAGCGGCGAGGUCAAGAGUGAAGAAGAGGAUCAGCGGCUUCGAGGUCAAGAGGUGGCACGUGAGGCCCUCUGGGCAAAUGACAUCCCUGGCAUUUCCAGGGCACAAAUUCCCCCCCAGUCUGGUGGGCGCCUUCAGGGUGCCCCGAGUCCUUUAGCGCUGGGCGACCUCCCUGUAAGCAGGGCUGGGUCUUUGCUUUGGUGCCUUUGGUGCCUUUUGCCGUUGUGCUGCUUUGGCUGCCUGGAGAGAGGGGCGCCCCUGUAAGGAGGGUGAGAGCCUCUGUCUCCAAACAGGAGGAGGGAAAUGGAGCCUCCCCCGAGCCCCCCUGUAGGCAGGGCAGGGCCUUUUCCCCAUCCCCAGCAGAAUUCGGUCUUCAGGGCUGGGCCCCUGUCCCCGGCAUUAGGCCAUGAGCUCGACUGCCUGGCUGUUGAGUCUCAUUCCUGCUCCCGCAGGGGGGAAGGCCAAGUUUUUUUUUUGCGGCUGCCUGGGUGUUGACCAGCCUGUAAGCAGGGUCUGGGUCUGGGAGCCUUUGUGCUCCCUCAGCUGGCAGCCUGUGUGGGGUGACCCCUCCGUUAGCCAGGAGCAGGUCAGGAUGCCCCCGAAGGAGAGACAAGGAGCCUCUCUGGGCCUUUGGGGCCAGCGCCACCCCGUAAGUUGGGGCCAGCGGCCUAGAGUCCCAGGCCCUUUCAGUCCAGGCAGUGGCUGCAGCCUCCUGUAAGCAGGGGUGCAGCCUCUUUGGCCGCUGCUUUGCAAGCCCAGCUUCAUUUGCCCAGGGGGCCUCGUUGCCACCAGUGGAAGGGCCUGCAGCGUCCGACGCUCAGAAGCCAUCGAGGAAGAAAGAAGAGACGUCGUGAGGCAAGACUGAAGAGGAGGAUCAGCGGCGUCGAGGUCAAGAGUGGAGCGGUGAGGUCAAGAGUGAAGAAGAAGAUCAGCGGCGUCGAGGUCAAGAGUGGAGCGGCGAGGUCAAGAGUGAAGAAGAGGAUCAGCGGCGUCGAGGUCAAGAGUGGAGCGGCGAGGUCAAGAGUGAAGAAGAGGAUCAGCGGCUUCGAGGUCAAGAGGUGGCACGUGAGGCCCUCUGGGCAAAUGACAUCCCUGGCAUUUCCAGGGCACAAAUUCCCCCCCAGUCUGGUGGGCGCCUUCAGGGUGCCCCGAAUCCUUUAGCGCUGGGCGACCUCCCUGUAAGCAGGGCUGGGUCUUUGCUUUGGUGCCUUUGGUGCCUUUUGCUGUUCUGCUGCUUUGGCUGCCUGGAGAGAGGGGCGCCCCUGUAAGGAGGGUGAGAGCCUCUGUCUCCAAACAGGAGGAGGGAAAUGGAGCCUCCCCCGAGCCCCCCUGUAGGCAGGGCAGGGCCUUUUCCCCAUCCCCAGCAGAAUUCGGUCUUCAGGGCUGGGCCCCUGUCCCCGGCAUUAGGCCAUGAGCUCGACUGCCUGGCUGUUGAGUCUCAUUCCUGCUCCCGCAGGGGGGAAGGCCAAGUUUUUUUUUUGCGGCUGCCUGGGUGUUGACCAGCCUGUAAGCAGGGUCUGGGUCUGGGAGCCUUUGUGCUCCCUCAGCUGGCAGCCUGUGUGGGGUGACCCCUCCGUUAGCCAGGAGCAGGUCAGGAUGCCCCCGAAGGAGAGACAAGGAGCCUCUCUGGGCCUUUGGGGCCAGCGC